UACAGAGGGUGCAAGCGUUGUCCGGAAUCAUUGGGCGUAAAGCGCACGUAGGCGGCCCGAUAAGUCCGUUGUGAAAGUCAGAGGCUCAACCUCUGGAGGCCAAUGGAUACUGUCGGGCUAGAGUCCGGAAGAGGCGAGUGGAAUUCCUGGUGUAGCGGUGGAAUGCGCAGAUAUCAGGAGGAACACCAAUGGCGAAGGCAGCUCGCUGGGACGGUACUGACGCUGAGGUGCGAAAGCGUGGGGAGCGAACAGG
rnacentral:rRNA from 1 species